rnacentral:rRNA from 1 species
GACGAACGCUGGCGGCGUGCUUAACACAUGCAAGUCGAACGGAAAGGCCCUGCUUUUGUGGGGUGCUCGAGUGGCGAACGGGUGAGUAACACGUGAGUAACCUGCCCUUGACUUUGGGAUAACUUCAGGAAACUGGGGCUCAUAUCGGAUCGGAGCACCUGAUGCAUGGUGGGGGAUGGAUAGUUUCGGCGGUUGGGGCUGGACUCGCGGCUUAUCAGCUUGUUGGUGGGGUAGUGGCAUACCACGGCCUUGACGGGUAGCCGGCCUGAGAGGGUGACCGGCGACAUGGGGACUGCGAUACGGCCCAGACUCCUACUGGAGGCAGCAGUGGCGAGUAUUGCCCAAUGAGCGGAAGCCUGAUGCAGCGGCGCCGCGUUCGGGAUGACGGCCUUCGGGGUGUAAACCGCUUUCGCCUGUGACGAAGCGUGAGUGACGGUAAUGGGUAAAUAAGCACCGGCUAACUACGUG